rnacentral:misc_RNA from 1 species
AACUUUUGACAACGGAUCUCUUGGCUCUCGCAUCCAUGAAGAACGCAGCGAAAUGCGAUAAGUAAUGUGAAUUGCAGAAUUCAGUGAAUCAUCGAAUCUUUGAACGCACCUUGCACCCUUUGGAAUGCUCCAAAGGGUAUGCUCGUUUGAGUGUCAUUGUACUCUCACACUCUCUGAUCCUUUGGAUUGGGGAGCGGUGGACUUGGGUGCUUGCUGCUUCCUUGUGGCUCACCUGAAAUGCGUCAGUGCAUCUCUUGAUUGGACAUAGUACGGCGUGAUAAGUGUCUUCGCCGGCACCUCGUAAGAGGGUGGCUGAUCGGGAGCUCUGUGCUUUCAAACCGUCUUCGGACAAUCCCUGACAACUUGACCUCAAAUCGGGUGAGACUACCCGCUGAACUUAAGCAUAUCAAUAAGCGGAGGCU